GGGGCUGCAAAUGUUCAUUCACCAAAGCAUUCUCCAGGCUCCUCACCUGACAGAGGAUGCUGUCCCUGCUUCUUAAGGGAGAAGAUUGAGACCUGGAGGAAUCACCUGUGAGCCCCAGAUCCCUGGCUGACUGGCAAAGGCGACAACAGUCUGGCUGCAGAGCUCCGGCCAGGCUCUGGGGUUGGAAUCAAGUGCUAUCUCGUUAUGCAACACAGCAGAGCAUCACAGCUCCUGAGAAAGAAGCGACCUUUCCUCUCAUCCUUCGACAACCUAAAUACUAUCAACUACCAGGGGCUUCCAACAAACUUCAACCUCGCACUUCAGGCAGGAGUGGAUACCCUGCCCUCAGUCUGAACUGAUGCUUAAAAUCACAGCCUGAAAGUUCUUAUUUGAUAAACUUCAUUAAAAAAUUGUUUUAAAACAAGAUUUUACAUUUUAUUUUGUUUACAAAGAAAU